rnacentral:rRNA from 1 species
UACGUAGGGUGCGAGCGUUAAUCGGAAUUACUGGGCGUAAAGCGUGCGCAGGCGGUUUUGUAAGCCAGAUGUGAAAUCCCCGGGCUUAACCUGGGAAUGGCAUUUGGGACUGUAAGGCUAGAGUACGGCAGAGGAGACUAGAAUUCCUGGUGUAGCAGUGAAAUGCGUAGAUAUCAGGAGGAAUACCGAUGGCGAAGGCAGGUCUCUGGGUCGAUACUGACGCUCAUGCACGAAAGCGUGGGGAGCAAACAGG